GUUGCUUCUUGGCCUUUUGGCUAAGAUUCAAUGUAGUAUCUGUUCUUAUCAGUUUAAUUCUUGAAAAUAUGUGCCUUUGAUAUGAUGAGUAUCUUUUAAAUACUAAGAAUCUUA
rnacentral:snRNA from 1 species